UGUUUGCACUUAGCGGGAAGGGUAAGAACCUUCGACUAAGGUUCGACUCGAGCGCCAGCGAGAGAACGUUGCCGCAGGCAACGGCCCGAAGGGCGAGGAGAGAU
rnacentral:sRNA from 1 species